rnacentral:rRNA from 1 species
CGAGCACGCGCGUGUGGCAUAUCAAUAAGCGGAGGAAAAGAAACUAACAAGGAUUCCCUUAGUAACGGCGAGUGAAGCGGGAAGAGCUCAAAUUUGAAAUCUUCAAGGUUCUACCUUGACGAAUUGUAGUUUAUAGAAGUGUUUUCUGUUAGUGGAGUGGCAAAAGUUCUUUGGAAUAGGACAUCACUAGAGGGUGAGAAUCCCGUAUUUGGUCAUUCCUCCUAGCGUUGUGAUACACUUUCAACGAGUCGGAUUGUUUGGGAAUGCAGUCCAAAAUGGGUGGUAAAUUUCAUCUAAAGCUAAAUAUUGGCGAGAGACCGAUAGCGAACAAGUACCGUGAGGGAAAGAUGAAAAGAACUUUGAAAAGAGAGUUAAACAGUACGUGAAAUUGUCAAAAGGGAAGCGUUUGACACCAGUGUUGUUUAGUUGAAAAUCAAUUCAAUAAUUUUUGAUUUUAAGUAGUAUUGACUUCAUCAGCUUGCUGCUUUCUUUUCAGGAAUUAUUGAAUGCACUUUUCAGUUAACAAGUCAACAUCAAUUUCUUUUGUUGUAAAAGGGUAAGAGGAAGGUGGCUUACGUUUCGGCGUAAGUGUUUAUAGCCUUUUACCUCUGCAAUCGGAGAGAUUGAGGACAGCAGCGUAGACUCCUUCUGGGGUUAGAUACACUUGUGUUAAGCUAUAGCCUUGUAUAGACAACUUGUUGACUAUGCUCAGUCAUGUAGCUUACUCGCUUGUGCUAUUUUACCUACGCUUAGGAUGUUGAGCGCAUGUCUCUCUCU